rnacentral:rRNA from 1 species
ACGGGGGGUGCAAGCGUUAUUCGGAAUCAUUGGGCGUAAAGAGCGCGUAGGCGGCCCUUUAAGUCAGAUGUGAAAUCCCGGGGCUUAACCCCGGAAGUGCAUUUGAAACUAUUGGGCUUGAGUAUGGGAGAGGGAAGCGGAAUUCCUGGUGUAGAGGUGAAAUUCGUAGAUAUCAGGAGGAACAUCGGUGGCGAAGGCGGCUUCCUGGACCAAUACUGACGCUGAGGCGCGAAGGCGUGGGUAGCAAACAGG